rnacentral:lncRNA from 1 species
CCUAGAUUUACUGCCAAUUGGGACACAAUAGUGGUGCUACAUUGAUUAUCAAAUGGGACACAGUAGUAGUGUCAAUUUACGAGAGAUAACAAGUGACAAACACAUUAUUAUUAAUAAUGACUCUGUUUGGUAACCAUAUCUUUCAGGUGACACUCCCUAACUCAAACAUCAGGGUUCCACAGUGAAUGCUUAAUUGACUGAUCAGGACAUGGAUGUCCCUGUUUACCCAAGAUCUUGCUACCCUGGUCUUCGGGAGGGAAGCACUCACCAAUGUCUCGCUAACUGGGAAGACCUCAAAGAACCAGCAGGGCCCCCCGAAACCACUGCUUGAUCCUUACAAGACAAAUGCCUUAAUCGACUGUUUCCUGAUGCACUUUCCCGGCACCUGUAUCAACAACACUGAGAUGGCUGUUUGCAGAAAAUGCAAUAAUGAGAGCACCAAUCGUCACAUCACUACCACCAAAUGCAUUAUUUAAUUUAACAUAAACCACACCUCUCUAAGGGUCAAGGUUAUGCUUGUGUUGUUUUAUUCUAAUGGGUUUAUUGUUGUUUCUGUUGUUUGAAACAAUAGCAGAAAGUUUAUUUGCGUAUUAUUGCCAUCAGCAUUGAAAUCACUGUUAGAUUCGCAACUCUUAAUUUGGAGAAUCUGUCACAUCCUGAUUGUGUUCACCUGGGUUGUCUUGUCACACCCUCACCCUGAUUGUGUUCACCUGUGUUGUCUUGUCACACCCUCACCCUGAUUGUGUUCACCUGUGUUGUCUUGUCACACCCUCACCCUGAUUGUGUUCACCUGUGUUAUCUUGUCUUUCCCCCACCAGGUGUCUCCUAUCCCCUCCUAUCUGCCUCCUUAACCUGUCUUCUCUGUUUGUUUCAGUUGUCAGUUCGUCUUGUGUGUUUGUUCCUGCAAUAAUCCCGUUACUAGUUCUCCCCCGUGCCUUGAUCUCUGCCUGCCCCCGGCAUUCAAGAUCUCUGUGCCUGCUCCCUACCAAUACCUUCACCGCCAGCCUGUGCAAGCGAGCCUGUGCAACGGCAGCCUGUGCAACGGCAGCCUGUGCAACGGCAGCCUGUGCAACGGCAGCCUGUGCAACGCCAGCCUGUGCAACGCCAGCCUGUGCAACGCUAGCCUGCCUGCCCUCAACUCCUCUCUGCCUGCCGCUGGCCUGUACCUCUGCUGCCAGCCCAUUAUCGACCCGGCCUUCUCCACUACUCUUCUCUUUAAUAAAUCAUUGUUAAUUGGAAACGAGCUGCCUGUGUCCAUGUCUGCAUCUGGGUCCACCUCUGAG